AGCUCAGCUGGUAGAGCAUCGCAUUCGUAAUGCGGGGGUCGGGUGUUCAAGUCACCCA
rnacentral:tRNA from 1 species